UGCAACAACAACACCCAACUCAGAAAAACAACUAUAAGAAAGAAAAGGGGACUAGCAUCCCCCAUGGCAAUCGUCAAUAAGAGCACAAGGAUCAUGUGCUUGACAAUUAUAUUGAUCAUGUCUACCGUUCUCUCCUCAUCUGCAGUUUACGAUGACCCUGGCCAAGGAUGCGAACCACGUGGCUCACACUGCUCUAAUAUUGAAUGUUGGGAUACCUGCGGUGGGGGCUGCUUCUUGGGAAAAGAUAAAAAAUAUUAUUGUUGUUGUGAACCAAUACACCAAAGCUACCCAGCACACCUCGAGCCCUUAGAACAUCGAUGAAAUGCUAUGAAUAUGGUGCAAGAUGGGAUCAUCUGAACCAUAAGCAUGAAAUGUGUUAGCUCUUGUUUUUGAUCUAGUUAUUAUGAUCUGCUUAAAAAUAAAAAUAAAUAAAUUUGGUUAUGAGUA